UCAAAAUUUGGCAACCUUGUCAGCAGGAGACAACUGCUCCGAAGCCGAGCCAACGAAUGAUACACCCAUCGCUACGAAGCAACAAUAGAUUAUAGAUGCUGUUAGAAGUGAUAAGAUUUAUAUGCAGGCUACGGAUUUGAUGUGCAUUUAUUCUCUUAAUAAUUAAUAUAUUGAAUAUUGAAUUAUAGUUGCACAAGUCGAUAAUUUGAGUGCGUUGUUAAAAAUGAUUGCGGUUUAGUGGCAGUGGUUUAGCUAAGAUCGUCGUAUACAUACGUGUAUGCUGAACUAGCAUUAUAGUGAUCCUAGGUGCCAGUGCUUGCCCUUGCCGUAAAUCAACAGAUUCGCGAAUAUUUGAGGCGAAACAACGCUAAGAACCAGGCAUAGAAAUUGUUUGUUCGAGGAAAUUUGAAUAUU